rnacentral:rRNA from 1 species
UACAGAGGUGGCAAGCGUUGUUCGGAAUUACUGGGCGUAAAGGGCGCGUAGGCGGUUUCGUAAGUCUUGUGUGAAAGCCCCCGGCUCAACUGGGGAACUGCACGGGAAACUGCGAGGCUUGAGUUCGGGAGAGGGAAGCGGAAUUCCGGGUGUAGCGGUGAAAUGCGUAGAUAUCCGGAGGAACACCGGUGGCGAAGGCGGCUUCCUGGACCGAUACUGACGCUGAGGCGCGAAAGCUAGGGGAGCAAACGGG